AGAACGAACGCUGGCGGCAGGCUUAACACAUGCAAGUCGAACGCCCCGCAAGGGGAGUGGCAGACGGGUGAGUAACACGUGGGAACGUCCCCCUCGGUUCGGAAUAACUCAGGGAAACUUGGGCUAAUACCGGAUACGUCCGAGAGGAGAAAGAUUUAUCGCCGAGGGAUCGGCCCGCGUCUGAUUAGCUAGUUGGUAGGGUAACGGCCUACCAAGGCGACGAUCAGUAGCUGGUCUGAGAGGAUGACCAGCCACACUGGGACUGAGACACGGCCCAGACUCCUACGGGAGGCAGCAGUGGGGAAUCUUGGACAAUGGGCGCAAGCCUGAUCCAGCCAUGCCGCGUGAGUGAUGAAGGCCUUAGGGUUGUAAGCUCUUUCGACGGGGACGAUAAUGACGGUACCGUAGAAGAAGCCCGGCUAACUUCGCGCCAGCAGCCGC
rnacentral:rRNA from 1 species